GAAGGAUCAUGUUACACUGAAGACUGUAGUAGUGAUAAUGAAAAUUCAGCUUUGCAUCACAGAAUAAAUUAUAUUUUAAAGUAUAUUAAAAUAGAAAACCAUUAUUUUAAAAGGUAAAAAUAUGGCUCAUGAGACACUGAAGACUGGAGUAAUAGCUGAUGAAAAUUCAGCUUUGAUCAAAGGAAUAAAUUAUAUUUUAAGUAUAUUAAAAUAGAAAACCAUUAUUUUUAAAUUGCAAUAGUAUUUCACAAUAUUACAUUUUCUUUCUGUAUUUUGAUCAAAUAAAUGUAACCAUGAUAAGCAGAAGAUACUUUUUUAAAAAUAUUUCAAAUCUUACUGAUCCCAAAUUUUGAACGGCAGUGUUAGUAUUAUUGUUCAAAUUUCUGUAAAUCAUCUCUACGUUUUGAUAAAGACAUUAAUCAUCGGUCCACAGGAGGGCUCUAUGGAUAGACCUGUGCUGAAGCUCUGCGCAUGCGCGGAGUCCCCGCGGAAAUUCAAACGCUCGUGCUCAGCUGACAGACGCGGACGUUUGAAAACUCUACAAACUCUGCCACGGUUAUUUUGCUGAGGUGAUAAGAUGGAAAAUCAGAAGAGACCGAGAGAUCCACUGGAGGAAAACUCUUCAGCUUCUAGUGAACUUGAAAAUGUGUUGAAGAAAAGGCGGCUGGCAGCAGGGGGAGAGGAGAACCUGGACCCCAAGAAAUCACCUGCCAGGACACGCUUGCGAUUGGCAGAGCUGGAGGUGAACCAGACACUCCAGCCAUAACCUCCAUCCGCUCCAGAGUCCAGCAACUCAGCCAGAGACGAGAUGGUAAGAAUUCAGAUUUAUCCUUUUGUUAAAUCACUCUGCCACUUCAAGUAUAUUUAAACUAAACUAUUUAUUUACUUUUUUUUUUUUUUUUUUGUGAAUUUCCAGUACAUUUCAAAAAUCAUUUUUGCUUGAGAUGGUUUAUAUGUGUACUAUUUUAUAUGUAGAUUUGCACAGUGUUACUUGAUUGUAAAUAUUGCUUUGCUUUUUACAUUUCUGUUAUUUGCCUGUAUUGUUACUGGUUAUUUUGUUCUAAUGUUAGUGACAGACUAAAGACUCUUUUUUUGGAAAUUUGGAAAUGGAACACUAUUCAGUGCAUAAUUGAGCAUUUUUAUUGCCCAUUUUAAUCAGCCUCUCUGGUUAUUAAAAGAUGUUUAAUUCAA
rnacentral:lncRNA from 1 species